CCCGGAGUUUGGGGAAGCCUGCUCUAGACUGUAAGCUUGUUUGAGCAGAAUCCUCAUCUACCUAUUGUUCCUGUGUAAUUGUCUCAUUUAUUGUUAAAUGUCCCCAUUUCAUAAUAUUGUAAAGCGCUGCGGAACAAGUUGGCACCAUAUAAAUACUAAUAAUGAUAAUGCUACACAGCCAUAUAGUGUACUAGAAAUAUAUCUACUCUUGAGCGACCCCUGCUGGCCGAACAAAGUACAUCUAAAGAUCAAGAACGGGACUACAUAACACAAAAUUAG